ACCGGGGAACCCGAAAACCGGACGCCAAACAGAGUAGGGA
rfam:Hymenobacter sp. APR13, complete genome.